rnacentral:pre_miRNA from 1 species
AAUAAAUAAUGUUUUGUAUUGUUUAUAUUUAAUGUUUGACUAUUUGUUUUAUUUAACAUUUUUUAUGAUUAGUAUUUUUAUUGUUAUUAGAUGAUAAUACAUGAAUAAUACUUUAUGUGUGACUAAUUUUUUUAUUUUUCUAAAUAAGACGAAUGGUCAAAUGUUGGACACGGAUAUCCACGGUUGUGCAUAUU